GAUGAAGGUAUUGAGGAACCAGUUUCAUAUCCCGACCUUGUGAGAAAGACUCUCACCCGUAAAGAUGGGACCUUCAUUGACGAACAAGCAGCGGCACUGGUUCUAGAGGUUGAGAAAGCGGUUGAAGAGAUGCUACAAGAGGGAUCUCCAGGUUGGAGAUAGCCAAACUAACUCAACGGCUGCCACAAUAACUUCAAAGCGCCUUCUCCUAAACCAAGAAUACAUCAAGCGUGGACAGACACGCAUGGUCACCAUUUAUGGACUUAGCAAUCUUCAAUACAAGAACAAACAUCCUUUUGGGUCGGUCCCUGCUGCACUCAAGCAAAACAUAGACAUGGAAAUGCGGGUUUCUGGCUUGGAGACUCUCACUCAGGAAAUCAAGUCUGAUGUUCAUGCUUUAAAGACUUACUUCAAUGAAGGGACAGCUAAAACUCAGUCAACUCUCAACAUGAGUCUGCAACUUCAACAGCCUCAAGCUUCUAGUGUGGGCCUCAAAACGCCAAUUCGUCAACAUACUCAAAAAUAGACACAUGGAAGCUCUGCGAGACCAGCAAACGGAAAAGACAGAAAAGAGAGAGGAAGGAGUCAGCAAGAUUUAUAGGUGGGCAAAGGCAGUGAUGCCAUGCCAAAUGUUCGCAUCGGAUCUGACAUCGGAUCUAACAAAACUAACAUCCAGAACUUUCUCCAAAUCAGUGCUUUCUGAGAUGAAAUGAUAAAACACCACCUUGUCCACACUCCGGCCACGCUCUAGAGUAUUUGAGCGUACAACCUAACAGAGGACCAGUGAUGUAAAGCAAGAAGGAGGAGAGCAAACGUUUAAAUCACAUAAUUAAAAGUUAGAAAAAGAAAGGGAAGGGUGGCGACCGACGACUAGUAAAGCACCGCUGGUUAGAAAUUGAAGAGACAGCGAGGAGGUGAGUGUCUGGGGGAAAGAAAAAAAACAAAAGAUUUUCUGCCAUCCCUCUCUCUCUAAUAGUCAUUCACCCAAUUUUUUU